GUACACGCCGUGACUAGCAUAUCAAUAAGCGGAGGAAAAGAAACUAACAAGGAUUCCCCUAGUAACGGCGAGUGAAGCGGGAAGAGCUCAAAUUUGAAAUCUUAAAGGGUUUCCCUUUACGAAUUGUAGUUUAAAGAAGUGUUUUCUGUUGAGGUUUUGGUAAAAGUUCUUUGGAAUAGGACAUCAUAGAGGGGUGAGAAUCCCGUAUUUGACCUUUACUUUCAACUUUGUGAUACACUUUCAAAGAGUCGGAUUGUUUGGGAAUGCAGUCCAAAAUGGGUGGUAAAUUUCAUCUAAAGCUAAAUAUUGGCGAGAGACCGAUAGCGAACAAGUACCGUGAGGGAAAGAUGAAAAGAACUUUGAAAAGAGAGUUAAACAGUACGUGAAAUUGUCAAAAGGGAAGCGUUUGACACCAGUGUUGUUUUUCUGAAAAUCAAUUGAAAGAACUGUUUAUGCUAAGCUGUUUAGACUUUAUCAGCUAUACUGUUUAGUUUUGAGCUUUUCUUUAAUGCACUUUUCAGUUAACAAGUCAACAUCAAUUUCUUUUGCUGUAAAAAAGCUUGAGGAAGGUGGCUUGAGAUUCGUCUUAAGUGUUUAUAGCCUCUUGCCUAUGCAGUCGGAGAGAUUGAGGUCUGCAGCGUAGAUCCUUCGGGGCUAAAUGCAUUUGUGCUAAGUUAUAGCAUUUUAUAGACAACUUGUUGACUAUGAUUUGUCUUGUAGCUUACUCGCUUAUGUUAUUUUACCUACGCUUAGGAUGUUGAAGAUGUAGCACAUCAU
rnacentral:rRNA from 1 species